rnacentral:rRNA from 1 species
GUUGGUUCGGCCUUAAGACGGUGCGCCAACCGCAAGGAGGCAGCCAACCACGGUCAGGUCAGCGACUGGGGUGAAGUCGUAACAAGGUAGCCGUAGGUGAACCUGCAGAAGGAUCA